ensembl:lncRNA
UGGUGGGAAGAGGAAAGGGACAGAGUGGUAGGGAAAAUGGACGAAGGAGAAGGAAAGGCAUUCCUAAAGCCUGAGAACUACAGGUAGACCUGUACCUGUGGUUAGAUACACUGUUCUACAUUAUAAACACUCAAUCACACACACAAUGUUGGAUAUACUACAUUAAUUGGCAUGGACCUGUUAUUAUAGUCCAUUAAUAACACACACACACACACGGGUAAUUCUCACGAAACUGUAAUAAAAAAAUACAUUUAGUCAUUUUUCACAAAAUGUCCUCUUGAAUAACUGAGAUUAGGAUCUAUAUGUAUCUAUUUCAUACUUAUUAUUAUUUUUUAUUAGAUAUUAUGCAUUCUACCAACGUUUUCACAAAAUUCUCAUUCGUUUUUGAAGUCCAAAAAAGUUAAAUCAAUAUUUCUAAUAUUUUUUAACAUUGCUCCCCUAAUGAAAAUGCCUGAGUUAAACAUAACACUGAAAAUACAAUUAUUAUAAAAUGAAAAUCAGACUUUUCCCCAAUUUGAGCUCUUUAGCUGUUUUCUAAGGACUACUCUAGAUGAUGCAUCAUGGGUGAAGAAAUGUUUAUUUCAAAGCUGGAGUUUUAUAGGAACUUGGUAAUGAGACAUAUCCACAGACACUGCUUGUAUGUAAUAAAUAUUAUAGUUUAAUGUAAACUUCAACUAGUAUACCAUUUUUAUAAUUUAUGGAGAAACUACAGCAACAUAUUUUGUUUUAUUUAAACAAGUUAGGUUUUUUUAAAGAUGUAUUUUUAUAAAAUUACCAUGAAUUUAAUCAGUACGCAUUUCAGUAAUGAAAAUGUAUUUUUCAUUAUUUUUUUACAUGACACUUUCCCCUAAAACUAGACAUCUUAGUCCUCAGAAUGAUAUCAUGCACCACCCCACACACACACAAGUUAAGGAAUUGCAUUGGGAACGUCUGUGUGAUUUCAGUCCCUCUAAAAGAGUGUUCAAAAGGAUGUGAAUGGAAGAGAGGACAGAAUGAUGAGAAUGAAGGGAAGAAUAGAAGGAAGGGGAGAAGGAAGAAGAGAAGGAAGGGGAGAUGGGAGAAGGAAGAAGAGAAGAAAGGGGAGAAGGAAGAAGAGAAGGAAGAAGAGAAGAAAGGGGAGAAGGAAGGGGAGAUGGAAGAAUAGAAGGAAGGGAAGAAGAGAAGAAAGGGGAGAAGGAAGAAUAGAAGGAAGAAGAGAAGGAAGGGGAGAAGGAAGAAGAGAAGGAAGGGGAGAAAGUGUGAUGCUGCUUCUAGUAUGGCUCUUCUUACUGUACUCAUGUGCCUUACAGCCAGACUAUGGUGCUUUUACCUUAUUCUGUUAUUUUUCACUUACCUUGUUGUUGCUCAACCUGCUAUAAGCAUGUUUUGUCCAUGUGCCUUUAUGUCCAAUACUCCAGUUGCCAUGAAAGACAGACUUUAGAAAAGAGACACAACAAGAUUUAACCUACUGCACUGUAUGGACCUUGAUUUGAGGGCCUGUUAAUAAACUGCUUUAUUGAAUGGUUAAUAAACAAUUUAAUAAUGUAAACUGGUUCAUAAACAAUGUAAUCAUGUUUAUAAGCAUCUUAUAAGCAGUCCUUCAAACAAAGUGUUAAAUCGUUUUGGGGGUAUAUUGAGAUUCUGCGGAUUCUGAAUGAUGCUCUCCUUCCUCUGCUGAUGACAUGUUUAUGUGCCAGUGGUAACGCUCUGUCUGUAGACACUCUCCGUUGACAUUGGAGAGGAAAAGACUUGUUAUCAAACAGUUUUAUCAUGUUUUCGCUCUGUAUGUGCGUGACUAUUUUCAGUAUAUCUUCUGAGUGUCAUUGACAUGUUACCAAGGUCACACAGGCAGAACUUUAUUUUCAGUAUAUCUUCUGAGUGUCAUUGACAUCUUACCAAGGUCACACAGGCAGAACUUUAUUUUCAGUAUAUCUUCUGAGUGUCAUUGACAUCUUACCAAGGUCACACAGGCAGAACUUUAUUUUCAGUAUAUCUUCUGAGUGUCAUUGACAUGUUACCAAGGUCACACAGGCAGAACUUUAUUUUCAGUAUAUCUUCUGAGUGUCAUUGACAUGUUACCAAGGUCACACAGGCAGAACUUUAUUUUCAGUUUAUUUCAAUAGUUUUUGCAAAACAAAAAUUGCCAUUGUAAAUGUAAAGGCAAAAAACAACAGUCCAGCCAGUCAGGAUCCCAAAUAGAAUGUCAAUAAUUCAGAUUUUUUUUAAAGCAAUAUUUGAACUGUUUUCCAGUCUAGACCAGUUAAGACCAGUAUGGACCAGUUGUGGUUUCAUUGCAGUGUGGUAUGAUGCAUGUCAUCGACUAGAGAUGCAUUCAACUCCGCUAACGAUUAUAAAGCUCCCAACUCUGAGCGCCCACCAACAAUCCAACUCACCAAGAAUGUUCGACAACAGGAGCAAACUCUUCUAUUCUAUUGAAAACACUUGAUUGUGUACUCUUUCUUCAACAAUGACGAAAGUUUUCUGCAAAUGUUUGCAGAGUUGAAUGCCAGUCUGGUUUGGUCCAGUCCAAUCUGUUUCUGGGCAUAAUGAUCCAGUAGAAUCCUGACCCACACUGAUGAUAUCAUGCAUCAUGAUGGAUAUUCAUUGGGGGCCUGGAUUGGUUGGUCAGAACAGGACAUUUCUUCUCAGGAGACUGGAAAGGGCCAUUGUAAUUUAGGCUUUAUUUAGCACAGAUUUUUUUAGGCCAUACUGCCCCGGAUUAGAUUAUCCCGUGUGUGUGGUAUGUGUUUUUCUGUUAUUCUAGAGUGAUUUGAGGUAUGAUUCCUAUGAGAAACAGGUUUACAGUCAUGUUUCAUGUUUGACAUCAUUGUUUCAGAAAAGUUAGGAUUUUUCUUGAGUUUGGAUUUUAGCAACUCAAUUGCUCAGUAAGCAAAAAUAUGAUCCAUGGAACAAUGGAAGUGUUGUAUUUUUAUCAUUAUAUAUUUUCAAUUGUUGUUGUAUGUUAAGUGCCUUAUCUGUAAUGUAUGGGAUAGCCUACCCUCUCACCUUUCUACCUUCUUCAGCUCCUCUCAUCCUCAUUCAUCCUUUCUCCCUCUUUCUUCUGCUUCUUAUUGUUCCCCACUCCUACUCAUCCAUCUCCUCCCUCAUUCUGAGAUCCUCCCCUCAGCCUUUCACAUCCCCACUCCAACCCUCGUUCAUUUGUACUAACCUUGACCAAUCUUCCUCUCUUCCCCCGUCGCUUUGGAAAAACAACAGUCACGUAAUUACAGUGUUAUUUUUAUGUGUGUAUUAUGAUGCUUAAGUAUUAUCAUUAAUAAUAAAAACAACGAUCAUGAAUAACUACGCCAAACCUGUCUACUCCAAUGUUUGUUUUACACACUCAAAUUAUGAAGUUCUCCUCACUGAUCGAUAAUGGGAGAGUAUCUACAGUAUAGGUUUCCUAUGUCUUGGUUUAGGUACUGAGGCCUAUAACCUAUAUAACCUUCUAUAA